GAACAUUCUGAAUAUAACUAACUUCCUUCCUUCCUGCCUUCCUCCCUCCCUGCCUUCCCUUCCUUCCUGCCUUCCUUCUUCCUUCCUCCCUUUUUUCUUUUCUCCCUUCCUUCCUUCUUAAUAUGUUUUUGGCCUUUUCUUUAUAUAUGUGGCCUAGCAAUAUCCUGUGUUUGGAAAAGUAUAAACCUAAGGCAUCACCUUUACAGAAAAUAUCUUCCACGGAAACAUCUAAAGGCAAAAAUCCUUCAAAUUCAAAUUUAUCCAAUCAUUUCUUCUGCUUACUACCAUCCUAAAUCAUUUUUCUUUAGUAAGAUCUAUUAGUGUGAAGCUAUUAAGCUAUUAAUGUAUGUAUCAUAUUAAUGUAUUAAGACAUUAAGUGAGGAAGUAAAGUUGCAUUCACAGGCCUUGAACUUUUCCACAUCUCGAUUUUUACCCAUCAUCUCUGCAUAGUUCCCUAAGGCAGCCUUCAAAUGGUGAUGUUUCUUAUAAUCCAGAGUUCAGAAGUGGCUUCUCUUCAAUCUUUCUGUGGAAUUCUAAACCACGUGAUAAAGGAGCUGGUGGCUGGUCUCAAACUCAGGCUCAAAUGAUCCACCCAUCUUGGCCUCCCAAAGUGUUACGUGUGAACCACUGCACCUGGCCAAAAAUAUUUUACUAAGAAAAAGGAGUCACCUAUUGUAUGAUUCCAUUUAUAUGAAAUAUCCAAAAUAGGCCACAGAUCAGCCCUGGGGUUCAGAGGGAUCCUGACAGCUACUCCUCAAGAUCCUCUCUGUUGUGAUUCAUCCCCCCGGGGCCCUACAGUUUCUCCUUCCUGACUCUUACAUUUCUUUGGAUGGCAUCAUUAUGUACCUGUCUCCUCCCAUAGUUAGGUGCCAAGCACUGUGGAUUCUGCCUCUCAGUGUCCAGACACCCAUUUUCCUUCCCACUGUUCCUUCCCCAUGGAGAAGCCUGUGGCUGGCUGACAGCAGAGAGAGAUGCUCAACUUGGAGAAGGUGUUACCUGGGCCAGGUGGGGAAGGUUUGUUUGCAGA
rnacentral:lncRNA from 10 species